rnacentral:misc_RNA from 1 species
GAUGAGAACGUAGCGAAAUGCGAUACUUGGUGUGAAUUGCAGAAUCCCGUGAACCAUCGAGUCUUUGAACGCAAGUUGCGCCCGAAGCCACUAGGCCGAGGGCACGCCUGCCUGGGCGUCACACGCCGUUGCCCCCCCAUCUACUCCUUCGGGAUUGCGGGGGGGCGGAUGAUGGCCUCCUGUGCGCCUAGCCGCGCGGUUGGCAUAAAUACCAAGUCCUCGGCGACGCACGCCACGACAAUCGGUGGUUGCGAAACCUCGGUUGCCCGUCGUGUGCGUUCGUCGCGCAUCGAGGGCUCGAAAAAAUGCUCGGCUCCGGCUGGGCUUUCAACGCGACCCCAGGUCAGGCGGGGUUACCCGCUGAAUUUAAGCAUAUCAAUAAGCGGAGGA